rnacentral:sRNA from 1 species
CUCCGUAGGUGAACCUGCGGAAGGAUCAUUACUGAGUGAGGGCCCUCUGGGUCCAACCUCCCACCCGUGUUUAUUGUACCUUGUUGCUUCGGUGCGCCCGCCUCACGGCCGCCGGGGGGCUUCUGCCCCCGGGUCUGCGCGCACCGGAGACACUAUUGAACUCUGUCUGAAGAUUGCAGUCUGAGCAUAAACUAAAUAAGUUAAAACUUUCAACAACGGAUCUCUUGGUUCCGGCAUCGAUGAAGAACGCAGCGAAAUGCGAUAACUAAGGUGAAUUGCAGAAUUCAGUGAAUCAUCGAGUCUUUGAACGCACAUUGCGCCCCCUGGUAUUCCGGGUGGCAUGCCUGUCCGAGCGUCAUUGCUGCCCUCAAGCACGGCUUGUGUGUUGGGCUCCGUCCCCCCGGGGACGGGUCCGAAAGGCAGCGGCGGCACCGAGUCCGGUCCUCGAGCGUAUGGGGCUUUGUCACCCGCUCUGUAGGCCCGGCCGGCGCCAGCCGACAACCAAUCAUCCUUUUUUCACGUUGACCUCGGAUCAGGUAGGGAUACCCGCUGAACUUAAGCAUAUCAAUAAGCGGAGGA